UGGCGUACGGGUGAGUAACACGUGGGUAAUCUACCUCUUAGUGGGGGAUAUCUCUGGGAAACCGGAGUUAAUACCGCAUAAGCUCGAGAGAGGAAAGCAGCAAUGCGCUGAGAGAGGAGCCCGCGGCCGAUUAGCUAGUUGGUGGGGUAACGGCCUACCAAGGCAUAGAUCGGUAGCCGGCCUGAGAGGGCACACGGCCACACUGGCACUGAAACACGGGCCAG
rnacentral:rRNA from 1 species